rnacentral:rRNA from 1 species
GACGAACGCUGGCGGCGUGCCUAAUACAUGCAAGUAGAACGCACAGUUUAUACCGUAGCUUGCUACACCAUAGACUGUGAGUUGCGAACGGGUGAGUAACGCGUAGGUAACCUGCCUGGUAGCGGGGGAUAACUAUUGGAAACGAUAGCUAAUACCGCAUAAUAUUGAUUAUUGCAUGAUAAUUAAUUGAAAGGUGCAAUUGCACCACUACCAGAUGGACCUGCGUUGUAUUAGCUAGUAGGUGAGGUAACGGCUCACCUAGGCGACGAUACAUAGCCGACCUGGGGGGGUGAUCGGCCACACUGGGACUGAGACACGGCCCAGACUCCUACGGGAGGCAGCAGUAGGGAAUCUUCGGCAAUGGACGAAAGUCUGACCGAGCAACGCCGCGUGAGUGAAGAAGGUUUUCGGAUCGUAAAGCUCUGUUGUAAGAGAAGAAAGGGUGUGAGAGUGGAAAGUUCACACUGUGACGGUAUCUUACCAGAAAGAGACGGCUAACUACGUG